UACAGAGGGUGCAAGCGUUAAUCGGAAUUACUGGGCGUAAAGCGCACGCAGGCGGUCUGUUAAGUCAGAUGUGAAAUCCCCGGGCUUAACCUGGGAACUGCAUUUGAAACUGGCAGGCUUGAGUCUUGUAGAGGGGGGUAGAAUUCCAGGUGUAGCGGUGAAAUGCGUAGAGAUCUGGAGGAAUACCGGUGGCGAAGGCGGCCCCCUGGACAAAGACUGACGCUCAGGUGCGAAAGCGUGGGGAGCAAACAGG
rnacentral:rRNA from 1 species